UUGAGACAAGGCAUCCAGCAUGGACCAAAAGUGGCUGACCUGCUGUAAAACAUCUUCCCUUCCGCCGUUGCUGGACAUCAUACGAAGGUCAUACAUCCAGUCCAAGAAUUCAGCCACUCUGCUGUAAACCCCAGGAUGGUUCGGCUCAGCGCAGCCCGUUCCCCAACUCACGACUCCUGCAAGCCUCCACAAAUUUUCAUCCUGGCAAACAAGAGGGCCCCCGCUGUCCCCCUGAUAAGCAGGACUUCCCAGCUGCCCUCACUGUCAAAGCACUGAUACUGGCUUUAAUGAUGACGGUGGUGCCAUUCUGCUUGAAUGACCAGCAAACUGAUCUGAACCUCAUAGAGAAACUUUGGAGUAUGAACAAGAGGCAGAUGAGAGACACCGGACCCAACACUGCUUUGGACUCGAGGGCAAAGCUACCUGGGCUUCCCUAACAGAACCACAGGCUUAUCGACUCCGUACCACGCUGCACUGAUGAAGUGGCUCACCUGCUUCCUGCCCAGCGGGAUUCCUCAACUCAUCAGGCAGCUGCUCUCGGUGAGUGAUUUAAUAUUUAAGACUAAAAAAAAAUUUAAAAUUAAUUAAUCCAAACAGCAGAUCAGAAAACACGGGCGGGGGAGAAGUAAAAAAGUUUGUGUAGUUAUGCCAGAAGAAGCUCCUCAGGGAAAACGCAUUGAUUCAGUAUGAGAACAGGUUUCUCCUUUACAGACAGAAGCAACAUAUCUGUACCUCGUAGUUUAUACGUUAUGAAGCACAGACCGAGUUCAUGCCAAAGCUCAAAAACACCUUCCCUCACUACAGCCGGCGAUUAUAUAGCGCUGUGACCAGAGAUGGACAGUUUUUAUACACUACACUUGUUAUAAUGACCACACUCCAUGUGCUUUUUCGUCUAAUAUUACACCAAAUAAAAAAAAUUAGGCUCCCUCACAACAAAGCUAUACAGGUUAUCAUACAAACUGAUGACGAGACAGUCUACUGACACACAGGUACAGUGCACGAGUUUGCAGGCAGGGAUGGGGAGGGGAGAGGAAUCAGUCGUUUUUGAAUAGUACAAAAUGCUUUUUUUU